rnacentral:lncRNA from 1 species
AAAUGAUUGUGUGACUGCAGCAGAUUUUUUAGCUCCAGAUUGAGAAAAGCAGAUUGAUAUUCUGCUUUGUAGGGAAACCUUGGAAUAAAAUUUUUUUAGAAUAGCUUUUUAAUAAGAUUCUCAUAUUUGUGUUUGUGUGUUCUCUUUAUUUAUUUUUCAGAACUGUUUUCUGUUGCAAUGAUUGUUGUAAUAGUUGCAGUAAGUCAAGUAGAUGACUUGAACAAUCUUUUUGUGAAUUUACUGUCAGCUGAUGGCUCGAUAAGAGUGCUUUUUCCAGCUGGCACUGGCACAACUCCCCAGAAACAGGCCGUGUCAGCAUUGCUUCCUGAGAGCUACCCUUGGCCAGCUCUGCCUGCAAACAGUUAUUCACUGGAAAGGAUAGUUUUCUACGCAGAACUAUGAAUCUCUGCUUGAAAUGCAGAAUUAAUGUUUUUCAACAACUGAUCUUCGGUAUGUUUUUAAGGUAGGAAAAGCUCUAAUCUGUAAAAACUUUUAUAUUAGUAUGUCUGGGUCCUUAAAACAUUACUGUAAGUUGAAAACAUUGGCCAAGCAUUCACUUUGCAGAUCACGUUCUCAGUUCAGUUCCCAUGGUUACCAUGAAGGAAGUGCUUGUGUAACAUCCAGCUCAGGGUAAGAUGAACCCCUGAGAUGAACAGGCAUAAAGGGAACCAUGGCGUCAGAAAGAGGCAGGCUGUAACAAGCGUGAUUGCUCUUAGAUUAAUAAUGCCUGGAGAUCUUCCAAGAGUACUGUUUCUUAAUGAUAGUGAACCAAUUAAUAGGUAGUGUGAUAAUGAUAAAAAUUAAGAUGCUUCUUGGGGAAGGGAAGAGUUGAUUUAAGAACUGCUGGAAACACUUCGUCAUUUUCUAUGAUUCAGGGGACAUAGGAUAGUUUUCACCCAUAA